UGACCUGUGAUCCACCCACCUUGGUCUCCCAAAGUGCUGGGAUUACAGCUGUGAGCCACAGUGCCCGGCUGACAAUUUAUGCUUCUUAAUUCUCAGGUACCCAGCAUCCGAGUGGGCAACACUCUAGAGGCAGGGAAUGUGGAGCAGGGCCAGUGCUCCUGCACCACAGUUCUCCUGUGUGCUGGUGUUCGCCCACUUGCCGUAGAACUUUUACUUGCAGUUUUGAAGACUGCGGUUGCCUAUGUAUUCACCAGUGACAAGUAAGCAUUCAUCUAGAAAAAUGUCUUUAGUUUUAUGCUUUCUUUUAUAUUUUUCUGAUUAUGAGAGGUAAGUAGCAUUUUCCUUCACAGGAAAAAUUGUAGUACAGCCAGGAAUGAGAAGCAUAGCACUAAAUUUGAAUGGAUUUCAAUGAAAUGAAAGUCAUUACCCACUCCUUCAAUACCCGAUUUAUCAAACCUGAGUAGAGUUGUCCUGGUGGCACCUGCUGACCAGCAGGCUUUCUUUAGAGCAAGUAGGAGGGACGGGACAUCUUUACCUUGGGGAGGGCACUGUGGCCCAUUUCAUGUGCUUCCCCUCUAGAUCCGUCUCACGAAGCUGCUUCUGCCGUGUCCCUCUCCAGAGCCCCAGUAUCUUUCUGCAGAGCUCCCCAGGCCCAUCUUCCACCAUAACUGAACAGAGUUCAGUGGCUCCCUGAGGAAGCAAAUGCUUCCUAUGUGAAUACCAGCCUUCAACUCCAUUUUUGAGGAUGAUUCCCACACCCAGGCUGAAACCUGUAUCAAGUUCUUCCCAAUCCCCGCAUUUACAGAUCCAGAAACAGAGUUUUUGGAAUUACCCUCUAUAGUGGCAGCCUUGUCCCAUUAACCUAAAUUCUGUACAGUAAUAAAUUUUAAAUCAGUGAGGUUUUAUUAUGUAGUGGCUUUGUAAAAAAAGAAAUGUACUGUUUUGACUGAAUUUACUGAUAAAUUUGUCAGGUUUGUCAGAUCAGUAGUUAAUUAACACCCCACUUUAAUGUGAUUUUUAGAUCACUAGCUACUUUCUUUUCCUCUUACAGAGUAAUAUAUUACUUCCCUUGUGAGCCAAGUGAUGCCUAUUUUUGCUCCCUUUCAUCUACCUGAUGCACUUGCAGUAUUUGGAGUGAUUUUACUCUAAUAAAGAUAGCAAAAUUUGU